UACGAAGGGGGCGAGCGUUGUUCGGAAUGACUGGGCGUAAAGGGCGCGUAGGCGGCGGCCCACGUCAGGCGUGAAAGCCCCGGGCUCAACCCGGGAAUGGCGCUUGACACGGGGUCGCUGGAGUUCGGGAGAGGUGAGUGGAAUUCCCAGUGUAGAGGUGAAAUUCGUAGAUAUUGGGAAGAACACCAGUGGCGAAGGCGGCUCACUGGACCGACACUGACGCUGAGGCGCGAAAGCGUGGGGAGCAAACAGG
rnacentral:misc_RNA from 1 species